ACGUCCUUGGUGUAACGGCAGCAUCACUGAUUCCAAACCAGUUGGUCGGGGUUCGAAUCCCUGGGGGCGUGC
rnacentral:tRNA from 1 species